UUAACAAUCAUGUGCAUGUAGACGCUUCACUGUAGUUAUGUGCGCCGAGGAGCGAGUUUAAAGGAAUAGUGCACCUGAAAAUAAUAAUACGCUGUGAUUUAUGCCAUGGUAUGAUUUCUAGAUGCCAUCAGUGCUGCCAACCCGAGAGUGAUAGAUGACGCCCGGCCUCGAAAACUGUCCAACGACCUGAAACGCUCCACGUAUUACGAAACCUGCUCCACCUACGGUCUUAACGUCGAGAGAGUCUUUCAAGACGGAUGAAGUUGUAUUGAGGAGAGAGAAGAGAAUAUCCGUGGAGGGAUCAGAUCCGGGCGAGGAGAGGAUUAGGACUUGAUUGUCAGGGGAUUUUAUUAAAACGAAGAAGUGGAAGAAGAAAGACGUCACUUUGUGUGACACCGGUCUGCUCACGUACCACCCCAGUUUACACGACUACAUGCAGAACGUCCACGGUAAAGAAAUCGACUUGCUGCGGACGACGG